CGAUCAGGGCCUUUACACAUGCAGUCGUAACAGGUAACCGAACGGUGGGGAUUAGUGGCGAACGGGUGAGUAACACGUGGGCGAUCUGCCCUUCACUCUGGGACAAGCCCUGGAAACGGGGUCUAAUACCGGAUGACACUCCUACUCGCAUGUGUGGGGGUUGAAAGCUCCGGCGGUGAAGGAUGAGCCCGCGGCCUAUCAGCUUGUUGGUGAGGUAGUGGCUCACCAAGGCGACGACGGGUAGCCGGCCUGAGAGGGCGACCGGCCACACUGGGACUGAGACACGGCCCAGACUCCUACGGGAGGCAGCAGUGGGGAAUAUUGCACAAUGGGCGAAAGCCUGAUGCAGCGACGCCGCGUGAGGGAUGACGGCCUUCGGGUUGUAAACCUCUUUCAGCAGGGAAGAAGCGAAAGUGACGGUACCUGCAGAAGAAGCGCCGGCUAACUACGUGCCAGCAGCCGCGGUAAUACGUAGGGCGCAAGCGUUGUCCGGAAUUAUUGGGCGUAAAGAGCUCGUAUGCGGUCUGUCGCGUCGGAUGUGAAAGCCCGGGGCUUAACCCCGGGUCUGCAUUCGAUACGGGCAGACUAGAGUGUGGUAGGGGAGAUCGGAAUUCCUGGUGUAGCGGUGAAAUGCGCAGAUAUCAGGAGGAACACCGGUGGCGAAGGCGGAUCUCUGGGCCAUUACUGACGCUGAGGAGCGAAAGCUUGGGGAGCGAACAGGAUUAGAUACCCUGGUAGUCCACGCCGUAAACGGUGGGAACUAGGUGUUGGCGACAUUGCAUGUCGUCGGUGCCGCAGCUAACGCAUUAAGUUCCCCGCCUGGGGAGUACGGCCGCAAGGCUAAAACUCAAAGGAAUUGACGGGGGCCCGCACAAGCAGCGGAGCAUGUGGCUCAUUUGGACGCAACGCGAAGAACCUUACCAAGGCUUGACAUCGCCCGGAAAGCAUCAGAGAUGGUGCCCCCCUUGUGGUCGGGUGACAGGUGGUGCAUGGCGGUCGUCAGCUCGUGUCGUGAGAUGUUGGGUUAAGUCCCGCAACGAGCGCAACCCUUGUUCUGUGUUGCCAGCAUGCCCUUCGGGGUGAUGGGGACUCACAGGAGACCGCCGGGGUCAACUCGGAGGAAGGUGGGGACGACGUCAAGUCAUCAUGCCCCUUAUGUCUUGGGCUGCACACCUGUUACAAUGGCAGGUACAAUGAGCUGCGAUACCGCAAGGUGGAGCGAUUCUCAAAAAGCCUGUCUCAGUUCGGAUUGGGGUCUGCAACUCGACCCCAUGAAGUCGGAGUUGCUAGUAAUCGCAGAUCAGCAUUGGUGCGGUGAAUACGUUCCCGGGCCUUGUACACACCGCCCGUCACGUCACGAAAGUCGGUAACACCCGAAGCCG
rnacentral:rRNA from 1 species